rnacentral:rRNA from 1 species
UACGUAGGGUGCAAGCGUUAUCCGGAAUUAUUGGGCGUAAAGAGCUCGUAGGCGGUUUGUCGCGUCUGCCGUGAAAGUCCGGGGCUCAACUCCGGAUCUGCGGUGGGUACGGGCAGACUAGAGUGAUGUAGGGGAGACGUGGGAAUUCCUGGAUGUAGCGGUGAAAUGCGCAGACGUAUCAGGAGGGAACACCGAUGGCGAAGGCAGGUCUCUGGGCAUUAACUGACGCUGGAGGAGCGAAAGCCAUGGGGAGCGAACAGG